rnacentral:lncRNA from 1 species
CGAUCUUCUGACCUCAGGUGAUCCACCCGCUUCGGCCUCCCAAAGUGGUGGGAUUACAGGCGUGAGCCACCAUGCCCGGCCUUCCGAGAGGCAGGUCUUGCUCUGUAGCUCAGGCUGUAGUGCAGUGGUGCAACUAUAGCUCACUGAUCACUCCAACUCCUGGGCUCAAGCGAUCCUCCCGCCUCAGCCUCCUGAGUAGCUGGGACUACAGGCGCUCUACCACAUCCUUCAGUGGCUUCUUAAUGAGGACCCUUGAAGCACUGCCUUCUUGUUCUUAGCAUCAGAAAUCAGGGGCUUUGGCAGGACAACUGAAAUGGUAUAGCGGCUGCAGCAAAGCCUGGAGUCCAACUUACGUCCACGUCUCACAAGGUACAUCUUCAUAACAUGUGCCACUCCUGGCUCUUUUAUUUUCCUGCCACUCACUUUUUCUUAUUUUUAACAGAUAUUCCUUGCAACGUUGCUUGCAUAUUUGUUAAGUGGCCACUAAAUCCCUUCUGGAACUAGGCAGGGAGAAAAUCAGUCGAUUGACCGAUACAAGACAGAAUGAAGUGAUAAUCGCUACCUUUCACUGAGUGCUUUCUAUGUGCCAGGGACAAUCCUAGACAUUUUUUAUUUUUUUAGAUGGAGUUUUGCUCAUGUCACCCAGGCUGGAGUGCAAUGGCAUGAUUUCGGCUCGCUGCAACCUCUGCCUCCCGGGUUCAAGUGAUUUUCCUGCCUCAGCCUCCUAAGUAGCUGGGAUUACAGGGGGCUCAGAGCUGAUUUGCAGCCCAUCUUGAUGUGCCUCAUGGCUACUGAUCUCAUCCCUGCAUUCUUCUCCUCCUGCUUCCACCAGCUUUAUUAAGGCUCACUGUUCUGAGGUCAUUCUGAGGAUUUCUUCUGGGCUUGCAUAGCUGGGACUUCCUGUACCACCAGUUCAAUUCUGCCUAGAGCUGAGGACCAUGCCAG